rnacentral:rRNA from 1 species
CAGUCGCCGCGGGAAUACGUAGGUGGCAAGCGUUGUCCGGAUUUAUUGGGCGUAAAGCGAGCGCAGGCGGUUUCUUAAGUCUGAUGUGAAAGCCCCCGGCUCAACCGGGGAGGGUCAUUGGAAACUGGGAGACUUGAGUGCAGAAGAGGAGAGUGGAAUUCCAUGUGUAGCGGUGAAAUGCGUAGAUAUAUGGAGGAACACCAGUGGCGAAGGCGGCUCUCUGGUCUGUAACUGACGCUGAGGCUCGAAAGCGUGGGGAGCGAACAGGAUUAGAUACCCGGGUAGUCCCUGUCUCUUAUAA